CCUGGUGAUCUAUAAACUUUACAGGAUCGCAUCUCUGAUGCAACAUAUCAUUACAAAGUUUCUGAUCCUUAUCAUCUUUAAGACGGGAAGGGUAUUGGGCCUACCCGUGGCUAUGACGGGUAACGGGGGAAAUUAUGGUUCCAUUCCAGGGAGGGAGCCUGAGAAACGGCUACCACAUCUAAGGAAGGCAGCACGCGCGCAAAUUACCCAAUCCUGACACCAGGGAGGUACUGACAAGAAAUAACAAUACACGGCCUAACGGGCUUGGUAAUUGGAAUGAGUGAAGUAUAAACCCCUUUACGAGUAUCAAUUGGAGGGCAAGGCUGGUGCCACCACCCGCGGUAAUUCCACUUCCAAUAACGUAUAUUAAAGUUGUUGCAGUUAAAAAGCUCGUAGUUGGAUUUCUGUUGUAUAAUUUAUAAUAUUACCAAGGUAAUUAUUAUAUUAUCAACAUCCUUCCUAUUAUAUUCUAAAUAUAUAAGAAAUUUUACUUUGAGAAAAUUAGAGUGCUUAAAGCAGGCAACUGCCUUGAAUACUCCAGCAUGGAAUAAUUAGUAAGGACUUUUGUUUUUCUUAUUGGUUCUAGGACAAAAAUAAUGGUUAAUAGGGACAGUUGGGGGCAUUCGUAUUUAACAGCCAGAGGUGAAAUUCUUAGAUUUGUUAAAGACGAACUACUGCGAAAGCAUUUGGCCAAGGAUGUUUUCAUUAAUCAAGAAACGGAAAGUUAGGGGAUCGAAGACGAUCAGAUACCGUCGUAGUCUAACCAUAAACUAUGCCGACAGAGAUAU
rnacentral:rRNA from 1 species